UGGAAAGAGUCCCAUCUCUGGUCAAGC
rnacentral:piRNA from 1 species